CGUUCUGUAAGCCUGCGAAGGUGUGCUGUGAGGCAUGCUGGAGGUAUCAGAAGUGCGAAUGCUGACAUAAGUAACGAUAAAGCGGGUGAAAAGCCCGCUCGCCGGAAGACCAAGGGUUCCUGUCCAACGUUAAUCGGGGCAGGGUGAGUCGACCCCUAAGGCGAGGCCGAAAGGCGUAGUCGAUGGGAAACAGGUUAAUAUUCCUGUACUUGGUGUUACUGCGAAGGGGGGACGGAGAAGGCUAUGUUGGCCGGGCGACGGUUGUCCCGGUUUAAGCGUGUAGGCUGGUUUUCCAGGCAAAUCCGGAAAAUCAAGGCUGAGGCGUGAUGACGAGGCACUACGGUGCUGAAGCAACAAAUGCCCUGCUUCCAGGAAAAGCCUCUAAGCAUCAGGUAACAUCAAAUCGUACCCCAAACCGACACAGGUGGUCAGGUAGAGAAUACCAAGGCGCUUGAGAGAACUCGGGUGAAGGAACUAGGCAAAAUGGUGCCGUAACUUCGGGAGAAGGCACGCUGAUAUGUAGGUGAAGUCCCUCGCGG
rnacentral:rRNA from 1 species